UUUCAGUUGCUUAUCUCACACUUGAAAUUCGUAAUUUAUCAAAUCACCUGAAGGCAAACAAAAAGGAUAUGAAAAACAAACGGCGUCUGCUUGCAGCAAUUGAUCGAAGAAACAUACUUCUUGGGUAUCUGAGACGUAGCAACUAUGAGCGUUUUGAGUUCAUUCUAAAAGAGCUUGGUCUCACCUACAGGUUACCUCCGAGUAAAAUCAUCAAACUCAGUAAGCGUGAAAUGGAAAUAAGAUCCGUUACUCGUAAGGCAUAUUACGACCGCAAACUCGCACUCUAUGAAUAUUUCAAAAGAAAACUGGAUGAAUCAGAUAGUGUGGAAAAUGAGGAGAAAGCUUAGGCGCAUGGAAUUAUUUUUUUAAUUUAAUUUUGGUUUUAUGUAUUUCCUUUUUUGAGCAUAGGUAAUAAACCAGGCUAUUUCUCUUGUGUAACUAUAGAGGGCAGUAUAAUAAACAAUAAUAAAACUA